rnacentral:rRNA from 1 species
CCCUUAGAUGUUCUGGGCCGCACGCGCGCUACAAUGAUGAAUUCAACGAGUUUAUAACCUUGGUUGAAAAGCCUGGGUAAUCUUUUGAACUUUCGUCGUGAUGGGGCUAGACCCUUGCAAUUAUUGGUCUCCAACGAGGAAUUCCUAGUAAACGCAAGUCAUCAGCUUGCAUUGAUUACGUCCCUGCCCUUUGUACACACCGCCCGUCGCACCUACCGAUUGAAUGGUCCGGUGAAAUCUUCGGAUUGAGACCUUGAUUUCUUCACGGAAAACGCUGUUUUAAAAAGUUGAUUAAACCUUACCAUUUAGAGGAAGGUGAAGUCGUAACA